AAGCUCAGUAGUCCUGAUAUGAUUCAGGAUUCAGACAGCGUGUCAAACAGACAGCCUCAAACGGCCAACCGUGGGCCAAGGCGUCAAUUGAAAGAUAGAUGAUCGUAUCCCCAGUGGUAUUUUCAAUUGGCUUAGCAACCACCUCAACAUUUGUUGCUGAAGUAACUACAUUCAGAAUGCUAGCUGGAGGUACUGCUGUGUUUGAGUAAACUACCCAAUAUUGCUGUUGUCGAUCCCUUUUCAUGUUGAAAAAGCAUUGAGAAGUUCACUGAAAGGAAUGUGGCAUUUGUUUGGGUUUCUUAUCUUUAAAACCUGAACACAUAGAUAAACUCAGCGUUGAAGCUUCUGCUCUCUCUUUUUCAAUUAACUAGCGGUCAUCAUUGCUUUUUAUGGCUGUUAGUUUAUUGCGACACGAGGAAUGGCAUGGAUCAGAUGUUUUGUUGGUCAUAUUGUAAGCAGCUGAAGGCCAUUAGCCUGAAUAAAAAUAACUUAGUUUACGUGUUAUGUUUUAAAUGAUAAGGAGAUGGAGUGUACUUGUUUCUUAUGAUGCUGCAGCACACUCUAUGAAUGGGAAUUUUUUUCUUUUCUUUA